UAACGCGAAGAACCUUACCUGGGCUUGACAUGUUCCUGACCGUCCUGGAAACAGGGCUUCCCUUCGGGGCAGGAUCACAGGCGGUGCAUGGCUGUCGUCAGCUCGUGUCGUGAGAUGUUGGGUUAAGUCCCGCAACGAGCGCAACCCCCGUCGCAUGUUGCCAGCAUUUAGUUGGGGACUCAUGCGAGACUGCCGGUGACAAACCGGAGGAAGGUGGGGAUGACGUCAAGUCAUCAUGCCCCUUAUGUCCAGGGCUACACACGUGCUACAUUGGCGCGUACAGAGGGCUGCGAUACCGCGAGGUGGAGCGAAUCCCUUAAAGCGCGUCUCGGUUCGGAUUGCAGGCUGAAACCCGCCUGCAUGAAGGCGGAGUUGCUAGUAAUCGCGGAUCAGCAUUGCCGCGGUGAAUACGUUCCCGGGUCUUGUACACACCGA
rnacentral:rRNA from 1 species